GAGGGAAGUUUCGUAUCAAGAGCCGGGAUUAGGCGCAGAUGGAUGACUUCUUGUCAAAACCCCUCUUCACGAUGUGAUCUUAUCAUGAAGUUCCAUUAACACAAGAUCCUGUUUGGUCAUUGUGUGAUAUAUGUAUAUGCAUGAUUGCUGCAAGUUUUUCAAAGUUGCCGAUAGUAGUUUAAGAUGGCCAGCCAUUAUCCAGGUUAUCCGACUGUGACACCUAGUAAUGGAGUUGUGACCGUACCAUGCACUUACACCUACCGGCAGGAUAACUACCACCCACAGCCCGUACCAUCUGGGUUCCCACAGCCUGUGUACAGCCCACCUAUGGCACUUCCACCCAUGCCACUGCCCACUUACCAGGCGGCAUACCUGAUGCCCGGUCCCCAGCAGCCUGCAAAUAACUACCCCCACAUCAAACCUGCACAGACCAAGCAGUCAGGUCAACCAAUGUAUAUUUCACAGGUGAAGGUUUCCCGGCAGACCUGGUCAGGUCAUACUAUAUCUCCUGGAAACCACCAUGAAAAUGGAGGGUACGAUUCACAUAUGAUCUACAAGACAAGGGACACUACUCUUGAUGGGAAGCCUAAAUGUCACAGAGAAAAGCUGGAGAAGCUGAUGAUGAAA